AUAUUUAUCUGGACAGGAACAAUGAUUGAUCAUAAAGAUUUAUGGCCUAGGCUGAUGAUUUUUACUGUACUUUCGAGGGGUGCCCAUUUAAAAUCGACCCAAAUAAUUGAACCUACAUCAAAUCAUAAUUUGUGACAACAAGAGCCUAUACGUUCGUGCGGCACCUA
rnacentral:snRNA from 1 species